rnacentral:lncRNA from 1 species
GGACAUAGAUGAGGGGGAGGACAGGGGUAAGGGAGACAGGGAGAAAGGGGGUAGGAGAAAGGAGAAAGGGGGUGGGAGAAAGGAGAAAGGGGGUAGGAGAAAGGAGAGGAAGGCUGGGAGAAAGAAGAAAAAGUUGGAGAAAGGAGAAAAAAUAAAAUAUCUCUCCUUUUAAAAAAUGAUCUAAUAUUUCAAGAAAAAAUAUC